GGGGAUGGAGGAGUAUCCUUGGGAAGGGAUUUAUUGAAGAAAGGUUUAAAAUGGGAGCUGGGCGAUGGUUCUUCUAUUGAUCCUUUUUGUGAUGAGUGGAUGAGUGGAUUCCAUUUGUUUCCAACCCCUACGGUUCUGUUUCUGCUAAUAGAUGUUUAGCAGUUUUCAAGUUUCAGACCUGAUCAAUUGGGAGUCUAGAUCAGGGCGGAUUCCCCUUCUUUCCUUUUUGUUUCCUCCUGAAGUGGUUAGAAAUAUUUCAGCCAUCACAAUUCCUUCUUGUUCGUCUAAGGACAGGCUUGUGUGGACAAGCAGAUGAAGCCAUUGAGCACUUUGUGUUUGAAUGCUCUUUUUCUAAACAUAUAUGGAGAGGAUCAACAUUGGGUCUGGAUUUUGAUGUGGGUAAUCCCAUGGGGCUUACUGAAUGGUUGGUAGAGUGGAUUAGAAAAGGAAAUUGUUUUUGAAUCUAGAAUCCAUUUUGAUAAUGUUGUUUCCCAUCCAAAUGAUGUGCUGUUUUCCUGUAAGGCCUUGUUUGCUCAGGUUUUUCAAAGCCAAAAGUUGGGUUCUAACCAUGAUGCUUCCAAUUUUGUUCUUGCUGAUGAGGCUAGUAGCAGGGGGGUGGCUCAGGAGGGUACUCUUUCCGUUUUGGUCAUUCUGAUGGUUUUGCAGAUGAUGGGGGCAGAGUUUACUUUUGAAUAGAUGGAGCUUGGCAGAAAGAAGGAUUGCAGGGAGCUUUUGCGUGGGUGGCUGAAAAUUCUCAGGCGGAUAAGCUUAUGCAGGGUUUGGGGAAGCACAUGAUGCCCAGUGCAAAUGUUGCAGAAGCCACUGCUUGUUUGGAGGCUGUUUGGUUAAGCUCUAUUAUUUCAAAUAUUGAUAGGUUUGACUUUAUUUUGAUUGUAAAAGUCAGUAGGGUCUCGAUGCAAGUUGCUCAUAAGUUGGCAAAAGCCACCCUGAAAAGGGAGGGCUAGUAUUUUGGUAAUGAAGUUUCUGCUUUCUCGAAAAAAAACAUUUCAUCCUAUACUCAAUGCCAAAUUGAAGUACUAUCAACUCAAGAAUAAAUUUCAGCUGUAAA